rnacentral:siRNA from 1 species
AUGUGUCAUAUCUAUAUUGUACAC